GUUUUGGGCUUAAUGCUAGUGGAUGAGAGGAGAACUCCAAAGUUAAGCGUGCUCAUGUGUGAGUAGUACUAGGAUGGGUGACCUCUUGGGAAGUCUCCACUUGGGCAACC
rfam:Helianthus annuus linkage group 6, whole genome shotgun sequence.